ACGAGCCACAUGCAGGGAAACUUGCACGUGUGGUUCUGGCCGAGCUUUCCUGAGGUAUCUAAUAAGCCAUGCACUCUCGC
rnacentral:ncRNA from 1 species